CCAAUAGCGUAUAUUAAAGUUGUUGCAGUUAAAAAGCUCGUAGUUGAAUUUCGGGACCAAUAUGUCGGUCGUGCUUCGGUACGUACUUGCAUUAUUGGUUUCUCCCUUCUGACGAACCAUGAUGUCAUUAAUUUGGUGUCUUGGGGAAUCAGGACUGUUACUUUGAAAAAAAUUAGAGUGUUUAAAGCAGGCUCACGCUUGAAUACAUUAGCAUGGAAUAAUGAAAUAGGACGUUUGAUUCUAUUUUGUUGGUUUCUAGGAUCGACGUAAUGAUUAAUAGGGAUAGUUGGGGGCAUUAGUAUUCAAUUGUCAGAGGUGAAAUUCUUGGAUUUAUUGAAGACUAACUACUGCGAAAGCAUUUGCCGAGGAUGUUUUCAUUAAUCAAGAACGAAAGUUAGGGGAUCGAAGACGAUCAGAUACCGUCGUAGUCUUAACCAUAAACUAUGCCGACUAGGGAUCGGAUGAUGUUAAUUUUUUAAUGACUCAUUCGGCGCCUUACG
rnacentral:rRNA from 1 species